rnacentral:rRNA from 1 species
GACGAACGCUGGCGGCGUGCUUAACACAUGCAAGUCGCACGAAGUGGCGAACGGGUGAGUAACGCGUAAUCAACCUGCCCUUCAGAGGGGGACAACAGUUGGAAACGACUGCUAAUACCGCAUACUGAAGGCGGGGAUUGCGUCUGAUUAGCUAGUUGGAGGGGUAACGGCCCACCAAGGCGAUGAUCAGUAGCCGGGCUGCGAGGAUGAACGGCUACAUUGGGACUGAGACACGCCCCAGACGCCUACGGGAGGCAGCAGGAGGGAAUCGUCCGCAAUGGACGAAAGUCUUACGGAGCAACGCCGCGUGAGUGAUGACGGCCUUCGGGUGGUAAAGCUCUGUUAAUCGGGACGCGGUACCGGAAUAGAAAGCCACGGCUAACUACGUGCCAGCAGCCGCGGUAAUUC